rnacentral:rRNA from 1 species
GGAUGAACGCUGGCGGCGUGCUUAACACAUGCAAGUCGAACGGAGUCACAUGAAACCUAGUGAUUGUGACUUAGUGGCGGACGGGUGAGUAACGCGUGGGUAACCUGCCGUAUGCAGGGGGACAACAGAGGGAAACUUCUGCUAAUACCGCAUAAGCGCACGGAUUCGCAUGAAUCAGUGUGAAAAGAUUUAUCGGCAUACGAUGGACCCGCGUCCGAUUAGCUAGUUGGUGAGGUAACGGCCCACCAAGGCGACGAUCGGUAGCCGGCCUGAGAGGGUGAACGGCCACAUUGGGACUGAGACACGGCCCAAACUCCUACGGGAGGCAGCAGUGGGGAAUAUUGCACAAUGGGGGAAACCCUGAUGCAGCGACGCCGCGUGAGUGAUGAAGUAUUUCGGUACGUAAAGCUCUAUCAGCAGGAAAGAAAAUGACGGUACCUGACUAAGAACGCCCGGCUAACUACGUGCCAGCAGCCGC